CGGGGUGAGUAACGCGUGGAGAACCUGCCUCACACUGGGGGAUAACAGUUAGAAAUGACUGCUAAUACCGCAUAAGCGCACAGUACCGCAUGGUACAGUGUGAAAAACUCCGGUGGUGUGAGAUGGAUCCGCGUCUGAUUAGCCAGUUGGCGGGGUAACGGCCCACCAAAGCGACGAUCAGUAGCCGACCUGAGAGGGUGACCGGCCACAUUGGGACUGAGACACGGCCCAA
rnacentral:rRNA from 1 species